CUUUAGAUAUAUUUUUGGUUCAAUAUUGCUCUAAAUUUCGGAACAAAUUUAAUGAAAACGGUGUUUUUGGUUCAAAAUCUGCAGUUAUGGACUCCGAAACAGAUGUCCCAAAAAUUGUAUUUUUCUUCAGCAAAUCUUUCGAUGAAGACUCGCGUGUAUUAAGCGUAUUUCAGUGUAGGGAAACUCCUCACCAUAUCUGUACCAUAACUUGUAGUCAAGAAGUAGCAUUAAGUUUUCAAUUCCGUCAGUUAUACACUAACAUGAUGACAAUGGUUUACAACAAAAUUCUACCCUUAGAGAUCAUUAUGAAGUUGGUUAAACUUGGUACUCAUUCAAAGUUUUAAAUCUCGUGUAACCGAUAUUGGUUGAAAGAGUGUAAUAACUGAAGAACUGUCUGACAUGAUGCCAAUUUAUUUUUAUAUUAAAAACCUCAAAUGCUGUUUAUUAUGAUUUCUAAAUUAAUAAAUGUCUUAAAAGCAGUCAA